GCUGUCAUUCAUAUUAACCCAGGUCACUGUAACAGUGACAGGUUUAGGUUACUGUCAUUCAUAUUCAUCCAGUUCAAUGUAACAGUGACAGGUUUAGGUUACUGUCAUUCAUAUUCACCCAGUUCAAUGUAACAGUGACAGGUUUAGGUUACUGUCAUUCAUAUUCAUCCAGUUCAAUGUAACAGCGAUAGGUUUAGGUUACUGUCAUUCAUAUUCACCCAGUUCAAUGUAACAGUGACAGGUUUAGGUUACUGUCAUUCAUAUUCAUCCAGUUCAAUGUAACAGUGACAGGUUUAGGUUACUACAUGAUACUAGAAUGUUCCCUGUACCCAUCAUGAGGUUGCUACUAGAAUGUUCCCUGUACCCAUCAUGAGGUUGCUACUAGAAUGUUCCCUGUACCCAUCAUGAGGUUGCUACUAGAAUGUUCCCUGUACCCAUCAUGAGGUUGCUACUAGAAUGUUCCCUGUACCCAUCAUGAGGUUGCUACUAGAAUGUUCCCUGUACCCAUCAUGAGGUUGCUACUAGAAUGUUCCCUGUACCCAUCAUGAGGUUGCUACUAGAAUGUUCCCUGUACCCAUCAUGAGGUUGCUACUAGAAUGUUCCCUGUACCCAUCAUGAGGUUGCUACUAGAAUGUUCCCUGUACCCAUCAUGAGGUUGCUACUAGAAUGUUCUCUGAACCCAUCAUGAGGUUGCUACUAGAAUGUUCUCUGAACCCAUCAUGAGGUUGCUACUAGAAUGUUCUCUGAACCCAUCAUGAGGUUGCUACUAGAAUGUUCUCUGAACCCAUCAUGAGGUUGCUACAGCCUAUGAAUUCAAGUUUACAACGUAGAGAGUGUCGAGAGAUACAUUUGAGUCAUCAAGGUGACAGACGAUUGACACAUUUAAUACUGUCUUGUACACUCUUGUCUGCAUCUAGUUGAUAUCGGGUCUAAUCAUUAGUCCAACAGUUGCAAACGAGAGUUUCUAUUGGACAAAUUCAGGCAUUCAGUUUCCUUCAGAUUUAAACAUGUUUUUCUUUUUUUUCUUGAAUUUUACCCCCUUUUCUCCCCAAUUUCAUGGUAUCCAAUUGUUUUAGUAGCUACUAUCUUGUCUCAUCGCUACAACUCCCGUACGGGCUCGGGAGAGACGAAGGUUGAAAGUCAUGCGUCCUCCGAAACACAACCCAACCAAGCCGCACUGCUUCUUAACACAGCGCGCAUCCAACCCGGAAGCCAGCCGCACCAAUGCGCCGGAGGAAACACCGUGCACCUGGCCACCUUGGCUAGCGCGCACUGCGCCCAACCCGCCACAGGAGUCGCUGGUGCGCGAUGAGACAAGGACAUCCCUACCGACCAAGCCCUCCCUAACCCGGGCGACGCUAGGCCAAUUGUGCGUCGCCCCACGGACCUCCCGGUCGCGGCCAGUUACGACAGAGCCUGGGCGCGAACCCAGGGACUCUGAUGGCACAGCUGGCGCUGCAGUACAGCGCCCUUAACCACUGCGCCACCCGGGAGGCCCUUAAAAAUGUUUUUCAACAGAAUUGGCGGAAUGAAUACACCCCUGAUUACAUACAUUACCACUGUCAUAGCAGCCACGUACAAACAGCAUUAUCACUGUCAUAGUAGCCAUCAUACAAACAGCAUGAUCACUGUCAUAGCAGCCACAUACAAACAGCAUGAUCACUGUCAUAGCAGACACAUACAAACAGCAUGAUCACUGUCAUAGCAGACACAUACAAACAGCAUGAUCACUGUCAUAGCAGACACAUACAAACAGCAUGAUCACUGUCAUAGCAGACACAUACAAACAGCAUGAUCACUGUCAUAGCAGACAUCAUACAAACAGCAUGAUCACUGUCAUAGCAGCCAUCAUACAAACAGCAUGACCACUGUCAUAGCAGACACAUACAAACAGCAUGAUCACUGUCAUAGCAGACACAUACAAACAGCAUGAUCACUGUCAUAGCAGCCAUCAUACAAACAGCAUGAUCACUGUCAUAGCAGACAUCAUACAAACAGCAUGAUCACUGUCAUAGCAGCCACAUACAAACAGCAUGACCACUGUCAUAGCAGACACAUACAAACAGCAUGAUCACUGUCAUAGCAGACACAUACAAACAGCAUGAUCACUGUCAUAGCAGCCAUCAUACAAACAGCAUGACCACUGUCAUAGCAGCCAUCAUACAAACAGCAUGAUCACUGUCAUAGCAGCCAUCAUACAAACAGCAUGAUCACUGUCAUAGCAGCCAUCAUACAAACAGCAUGAUCACUGUCAUAGCAGACACAUACAAACAGCAUGAUCACUGUCAUAGCAGACACAUACAAACAGCAUGAUCACUGUCAUAGCAGACACAUACAAACAGCAUGAAAUGUAAUGAUCACUGUCAUUGCAGACACAUACAAACAGCAUGAUCACUGUCAUAGCAGACACAUACAAACAGCAUGAUCACUGUCAUAGCAGACACAUACAAACAGCAUGAUCACUGUCAUAGCAGCCAUCAUACAAACAGCAUGAUCACUGUCAUAGCAGACACAUACAAACAGCAUGAUCACUGUCAUAGCAGCCAUCAUACAAACAGCAUGAUCACUGUCAUAGCAGCCACAUACAAACAGCAUGAUCACUGUCAUAGCAGCCAUCAUACAAACAGCAUGAUCACUGUCAUAGCAGACACAUACAAACAGCAUGAUCACUGUCAUAGCAGACACAUACAAACAGCAUGAUCACUGUCAUAGCAGACACAUACAAACAGCAUGAUCACUGUCAUAGCAGACACAUACAAACAGCAUGAUCACUGUCAUAGCAGACACAUACAAACAGCAUGAUCACUGUCAUAGCAGACACAUACAAACAGCAUGAUCACUGUCAUAGCAGACACAUACAAACAGCAUGAUCACUGUCAUAGCAGACACAUACAAACAGCAUGAUCACUGUCAUAGCAGCCACAUACAAACAGCAUGAUCACUGUCAUAGCAGACACAUACAAACAGCAUGAUCACUGUCAUAGCAGACACAUACAAACAGCAUGAUCACUGUCAUAGCAGACACAUACAAACAGCAUGAUCACUGUCAUAGCAGACACAUACAAACAGCAUGAUCACUGUCAUAGCAGACACAUACAAACAGCAUGAUCACUGUCAUAGCAGACACAUACAAACAGCAUGAUCACUGUCAUAGCAGCCACAUACAAACAGCAUGAUCACUGUCAUAGCAGCCAUCAUACAAACAGCAUGAUCACUGUCAUAGCAGACACAUACAAACAGCAUGAUCACUGUCAUAGCAGACACAUACAAACAGCAUGAUCACUGUCAUAGCAGCCACAUACAAACAGCAUGAUCACUGUCAUAGCAGCCAUCAUACAAACAGCAUGAUCACUGUCAUAGCAGCCAUCAUACAAACAGCAUGAUCACUGUCAUAGCAGCCAUCAUACAAACAGCAUGAUCACUGUCAUAGCAGACACCAUACAAACAGCAUGAUCACUGUCAUAGCAGACACAUACAAACAGCAUGAUCACUGUCAUAGCAGCCAUCAUACAAACAGCAUGAUCACUGUCAUAGCAGCCACAUACAAACAGCAUGAUCACUGUCAUAGCAGCCAUCAUACAAACAGCAUGAUCACUGUCAUAGCAGACACAUACAAACAGCAUGAUCACUGUCAUAGCAGACACAUACAAACAGCAUGAUCACUGUCAUAGCAGACACCAUACAAACAGCAUGAUCACUGUCAUAGCAGACACAUACAAACAGCAUGAUCACUGUCAUAGCAGACACAUACAAACAGCAUGAUCACUGUCAUAGCAGACAUCAUACAAACAGCAUGAUCACUGUCAUAGCAGACACAUACAAACAGCAUGAUCACUGUCAUAGCAGACACAUACAAACAGCAUGAUCACUGUCAUAGCAGUCACAUACAAACAGCAUGAUCACUGUCAUAGCAGUCACAUACAAACAGCAUGAUCACUGUCAUAGCAGACACAUACAAACAGCAUGAUCACUGUCAUAGCAGACACAUACAAACAGCAUGAUCACUGUCAUAGCAGACACAUACAAACAGCAUGAUCACUGUCAUAGCAGACACAUACAAACAGCAUGAUCACUGUCAUAGCAGACACAUACAAACAGCAUGAUCACUGUCAUAGCAGACACAUACAAACAGCAUGAUCACUGUCAUAGCAGCCACAUACAAACAGCAUGACCACUGUCAUAGCAUGAUCACUGUCAUAGCAGACACAUACAAACAGCAUGAUCACUGUCAUAGCAGACACAUACAAACAGCAUGAUCACUGUCAUAGCAGACACAUACAAACAGCAUGAUCACUGUCAUAGCAGCCAUCAUACAAACAGCAUGAUCACUGUCAUAGCAGCCAUCAUACAAACAGCAUGAUCACUGUCAUAGCAGACACAUACAAACAGCAUGAUCACUGUCAUAGCAGCCAUCAUACAAACAGCAUGAUCACUGUCAUAGCAGCCACAUACAAACAGCAUGAUCACUGUCAUAGCAGCCAUCAUACAAACAGCAUGAUCACUGUCAUAGCAGCCAUCAUACAAACAGCAUGAUCCCUGUCAUAGCAGCCAUCAUACAAACAGCAUGAUCCCUGUCAUAGCAGACACAUACAAACAGCAUGAUCACUGUCAUAGCAGACACAUACAAACAGCAUGAUCACUGUCAUAGCAGCCAUCAUACAAACAGCAUGAUCACUGUCAUAGCAGACACAUACAAACAGCAUGAUCCCUGUCAUAGCAGACACAUACAAACAGCAUGAUCACUGUCAUAGCAGACACAUACAAACAGCAUGAUCACUGUCAUAGCAGACACAUACAAACAGCAUGAUCACUGUCAUAGCAGACACAUACAAACAGCAUGAUCACUGUCAUAGCAGCCAUCAUACAAACAGCAUGAUCACUGUCAUAGCAGACACAUACAAACAGCAUGAUCACUGUCAUAGCAGACACAUACAAACAGCAUGAUCACUGUCAUAGCAGACACAUACAAACAGCAUGAUCCCUGUCAUAGCAGACACAUACAAACAGCAUGAUCACUGUCAUAGCAGACACAUACAAACAGCAUGACCACUGUCAUAGCAGACACAUACAAACAGCAUGAUUACUGUCAUAGCAGACACAUACAAACAGCAUGAUCACUGUCAUAGCAGCCAUCAUACAAACAGCAUGAUCCCUGUCAUAGCAGACACAUACAAACAGCAUGACCACUGUCAUAGCAGACACAUACAAACAGCAUGAUCACUGUCAUAGCAGACACAUACAAACAGCAUGAUCACUGUCAUAGCAGACACAUACAAACAGCAUGAUCACUGUCAUAGCAGCCAUCAUACAAACAGCAUGAUCACUGUCAUAGCAGACACAUACAAACAGCAUGAUCACUGUCAUAGCAGACAUCAUACAAACAGCAUGAUCACUGUCAUAGCAGACACAUACAAACAGCAUGAUCACUGUCAUAGCAGACACAUACAAACAGCAUGAUCACUGUCAUAGCAGACACAUACAAACAGCAUGAUCACUGUCAUAGCAGACACAUACAAACAGCAUGAUCACUGUCAUAGCAGACACAUACAAACAGCAUGAUCACUGUCAUAGCAGACACAUACAAACAGCAUGAUCACUGUCAUAGCAGACACAUACAAACAGCAUGAUCACUGUCAUAGCAGACACAUACAAACAGCAUGAUCACUGUCAUAGCAGCCACAUACAAACAGCAUGAUCACUGUCAUAGCAGACACAUACAAACAGCAUGAUCACUGUCAUAGCAGACACAUACAAACAGCAUGAUUACUGUCAUAGCAGACACAUACAAACAGCAUGAUCACUGUCAUAGCAGACACAUACAAACAGCAUGAUCACUGUCAUAGCAGACACAUACAAACAGCAUGAUCACUGUCAUAGCAGACACAUACAAACAGCAUGAUCACUGUCAUAGCAGCCACAUACAAACAGCAUGAUCACUGUCAUAGCAGCCAUCAUACAAACAGCAUGAUCACUGUCAUAGCAGACACAUACAAACAGCAUGAUCACUGUCAUAGCAGACACAUACAAACAGCAUGAUCACUGUCAUAGCAGACACAUACAAACAGCAUGAUCACUGUCAUAGCAGCCAUCAUACAAACAGCAUGAUCACUGUCAUAGCAGCCAUCAUACAAACAGCAUGAUCACUGUCAUAGCAGCCAUCAUACAAACAGCAUGAUCACUGUCAUAGCAGCCAUCAUACAAACAGCAUGAUCAC